CCUACGGGAGGCAGCAGUAGGGAAUAUUGCUCAAUGGGGGAAACCCUGAACCAGCAACGCCGCGUGGAGGAUGAAGGUUUUCGGAUUGUAAACUCCUUUUGUUAGAGAAGAUUAUGACGGUAUCUAACGAAUAAGCACCGGCUAACUCCGUGCCAGCAGCCGCGGUAAUACGUAGGGUGCAAGCGUUCCUCGGAAUCACUGGGCGUAAAGAGUGCGUAGGCGGGGUAGUAAGUUAGAGGUGAAAUCCUGUAGCUUAACUACAGAACUGCAUUUGAAACUGUUAGUCUAGAGUUAGAGAGAGGUAGGUGGAAUACUGGGUGUAGAGGUGAAAUCCGUAGAGAUCAAGAGGAAUACUCAUUGCGAAGGCGACCAUCUGGAACAUUACUGACGUUGAUGCACGAAAGCGUGGGGAGCAAACAGGAUUAGAUACCCGUGUAGUC
rnacentral:rRNA from 1 species